rnacentral:lncRNA from 1 species
CAACGGUUGGAGCGGCGAAACAAAGCGGAUAUAAUAUGACGCGAAGAAAACAGACCAUGGCGAAUCAUUUUAUCUACAAAGAAAAUCUGACCAUGUUUAGGCUAGCAGAGAUCGCUUAGCUGCGUCUGAUUGCGGCCCCUUUGCGUGGUCACGCACGUCCGUGCACGUGCGUCAAAACCAUGAAGCAAUGGAGCGCCACUUGCCCCCGAGGAUCUGGGAGCUCUGGACACGGUUCAGACGGUGGAGCCGCGGAGGCAGACAGCGGUGGCAGCCGGAGGGGGAAGUUGCUGUGCACGGUCGUCCACCUAGGCGUUGGAGGACUCGCUUUGAGCGAGCCACUUCCCACGUUCUGGAAGUUGGCCCCCCCACCUCUGGCAUUGAGGUACCCCGCUUUGACCUGCCUUCUUACACACAACUUCCUCUUUACACUGAUCUCUUUCCUCCUCAUUCUCCUCCACGCUUUCCUGUUCCUUCUGCUAUUCCUUCCUCACCUCCUCCUCCCUAUUCUCCUCCACACUCUCCUGUUCCUUCUUCUGUUCCUUCCACACCCCCUCCUCCUUAUUCUCCUGUUCCUUCUCGCUCUUUUGCUGCUCCUCAUUCUCCUCCACGCUCUCCUGUUCGUCCUUCUUCUGUUCCUUCCACACCCCCUCCUCCCUAUUCUCCUGUUCCUUCUUGCUCUUUUGCUCCUCCUCAUUCUCCUCCACGCUCUCCUGUUCGUCCUUCUUCUGUUCCUUCCACACCCCCUCCUCCUUUUUCUCCUGUUCCCUCUUGCUCUCCGGCUCCUCCUCUUUCUCCUCCAUGCUCUUUUGCUCCUUCUUCUUCUAUUCCACCUUCACCCCCUGCUCCUUCCCCUCUGGUUCCACCUAUUGUGGCUCCUUCUGAGCUGCCCUGUGUUCCCGAUGCUGGCCUUCCCCUGUCUCCUGUUAUUCAGGACUCAGGCUCCACAGUGGAAGGGACCAGUGAGGACUUAGCGGUUGGGGAAACCAACGAGGCUCCUAGCAGCGGCAGCAGCAGCAGCACACCUGGUAGAGGUAGGGAGGACAGUGAUGAGGAGGGGGCUGCUCCCAAAAGACCAUGUUUUACUGUGAGACACUGUGUCACACAGUAA